rnacentral:rRNA from 1 species
UUAAAAGACCUUCUUUGGAGGUAUGCUUAAGGAGGGGCUUGCGACACAUUAGUUAGUUGGCAGGGUAAAGGCCUACCAAGACUAUGAUGUGUAGCUGGACUGAGAGGUUGAACAGCCACAUUGGGACUGAGACACGGCCCAAACUCCUACGGGAGGCAGCAGUAGGGAAUUUUCGGCAAUGGAGGAAACUCUGACCGAGCAACGCCGCGUGAACGAUGAAGUACCUCGGUAUGUAAAGUUCUUUUAUUAAGGAAGAAAAAAGAGUGGAAAAACUCCCUUGACGGUACUUAAUGAAUAAGCCCCGGCUAAUUAUGUGCCAGCAGCCGCGGUAAUACAUAAAGGGCGAGCGUUAUCCGGAAUUAUUGGGCGUAAAGGGUGCGUAGGCGGUUUAAUAAGUCUAUAGUUUAAUUUCAGUGCUUAACGCUGUUGUGCUAUAGAAACUGUUUUACUAGAGUGAGAUAGAGGCAAGCGGAAUUCCAUGUGUAGCGGUAAAAUGCGUAAAUAUAUGGAGGAACACCAGAGGCGUAGGCGGCUUGCUGGGUCUUUACUGACGCUGAGGCACGAAAGCGUGGGGAGCAAACAGGAUUAGAUACCCUGGUAGUCCACGCCGUAAACGAUGAGUACUAAGUGUCGGGUAAAACCGGUACUGAAGUUAACACAUUAAGUACUCCGCCUGAGUAGUACGUACGCAAGUAUGAAACUUAAAGGAAUUGACGGGACUCCGCACAAGCGGUGGAUCAUGUUGUUUAAUUCGAAGAUACACGAAAAACCUUACCAGGUCUUGACAUUUUCUUGCGAAGUUAUAGAAAUAUAAUGGAGGUUAUCAGGAAAACAGGUGGUGCAUGGUUGUCGUCAGCUCGUGUCGUGAGAUGUUAGGUUAAGUCCUAAAACGAGCGCAACCCUUGUCGUUAAUUGCCAGCAUGUAAUGAUGGGGACUUUAACGAGACUGCCAAUGAAAAAUUGGAGGAAGGUGGGGAUUACGUCAAAUCAUCAUGCCCCUUAUGAUCUGGGCUACAAACGUGAUACAAUGGUUGAUACAAAGAGUAGCUGAAACGCGAGUUCUUAGCCAAUCUCACAAAAUCAAUCUCAGUUCGGAUUGAAGUCUGCAACUCGACUUCAUGAAGUUGGAAUCGCUAGUAAUCGCGAAU